UCCUCCACCGGUGGCAACAAUAAAUACCUCCGCCCCCAUCACCAUCUCCCUUUCUCUCUCUAAACAUGCUCUAAUCCAAACAAAAACCCUCGCUUUCUCUCUCUUAAAAUCCCCCCACUCUGAUUCUAUGUCCGCCCCGCCGCCGCCCACGACCAUCUUCGACGGCGGCUCCUCCUCCGUCAUCACGCAAAUGCCACAGCUGCCGCCGCCCUACACGGACAGGUCAUCGCCUUCUUCCCGAUCCUCCUCCUCGUCCGACGACGUCUCGUCGUCUUCGAUAGUCAUAGUCAUUAUCAUCAUCGCCUCCGCCGUCAUCAUCUCCGCCUCCAUCUACCUCCUCCUCC
rnacentral:lncRNA from 1 species